rnacentral:lncRNA from 1 species
CUGUUAUGUUCUGCAUGCCCACAUAAUGCAAAUCAUAAAAAAGUAAUAUUUUUAUGCUUACAGUAAGUGUCAUGAAAACUCAGGAGGUUGAUGUGUUAUGGGCCUUCUGGAAAGUCCUAAAAUAUGCCCCUGAGCCGUGUUGGGGAAUGACGCAAAGUAUUUUUUUUAAAUACAUCUCUAAGCUAUAACUGCCACAGCAUUAUUCAACUAGUACCAUGGAAAUACUUUUAACUGGCUGAGUACAACGUUUCUUCAAGAGUGUCCUUUUCUAGUUUGCUUAUAAAAUAUUAACUUGAUAAAAUUGUAAUGUGCUGAUUGUCUUCACUUCAUCUGAUCCAUCACACCACUCUUCAAGAGGACCACUCUGCUCCAGAUCUGACCCAUCACACCACUCUUCAAGAGGACCACUCUGCUCCAGAUCUGACCCAUCACACCACUCUUCAAGAGGACCACUCUGCUCCAGAUCUGACCCAUCACACCACUCUUCAAGAGGACCACUAUGCUCCAGAUCUGACCCAUCACACCACUCUUCAAGAGGACACUAUGCUCCAGAUCUGACCCAUCACACCACUCUUCAAGAGGACCACUAUGCUCCAGAUCUGACCCAUCACACCACUCUUCAAGAGGACACUAUGCUCCAGAUCUGACCCAUCACACCACUCUUCAAGAGGGCCACUAUGCUCCAGAACUGACCCAUCACACCACUCUUCAAGAGGACCACUCUGCUCCAGAUCUGACCCAUCACACCACUCUUCAAGAGGACCACUAUGCUCAAGAUCUGACCCAUCACACCACUCUUCAAGAGGACCACUCUGCUCCAGAUCUGACCCAUUACACCACUCUUCAAGAGGACCACUAUGCUCAAGAUCUGACCCAUUACACCACUCUUCAAGAGGACCACUCUGCUCCAGAUCUGACCCAUUACACCACUCUUCAAGAGGACCACUACGCUCCAGAUCGCCUUCUGUGCUCAGAUGUCCUUGAUGAGGAUCUAGCCCAUCACACCACUGUUGCAGGUUAACUUUAAUUGGUAACUAUGGAUACAAAUAGAAAUGUAAUGAACAAUGUUUUCAAUGUCCAACUUCAUCCUCUGCAGAUCUUACACUCUUAGGGGAAAAAACGUAUUUGGCUGUCCCCAUAGGAGAACUCUUGAAGAACUCUGUUUGGUUCCA